rnacentral:rRNA from 1 species
GUAGGUGGCAAGCGUUGUCCGGAAUUAUUGGGCGUAAAGCGCGCGCAGGCGGUCCUUUAAGUCUGAUGUGAAAGCCCACGGCUCAACCGUGGAGGGUCAUUGGAAACUGGGGGACUUGAGUACAGAAGAGGAAAGCGGAAUUCCAAGUGUAGCGGUGAAAUGCGUAGAGAUUUGGAGGAACACCAGUGGGGAAGGCGGCUUUCUGGUCUGUAACUGACGCUGAGGCGCGAAAGCGUGGGGAGCAAACAGGAUUAGAUACCCUGGUAGUCCACGCCGUAAACGAUGAGUGCUAAGUGUUAGGGGGUUUCCGCCCCUUAGUGCUGCAGCUAACGCAUUAAGCACUCCGCCUGGGGAGUACGGCCGCAAGGCUG